UGGUCAUGUCUGAGGAACAGACCAUCAAUGAUGUGGUCAUGACUGAAGCCAUGACUGAAAAUGAGUUGGCCAUUUCCACAAUUGAUUCCAACCAUCACCUUUCCCAUCCUGAAGAAACUCACUCUCAUAACCAUCACUUUGCUGAUUUCCAUAUGAUUCCUGACUGAAGCCAUGACUGAAAAUGAGUUGGCCAUUUCCACAAUUGAUUCCAACCAUCACCUUUCCCAUCCUGAAGAAACUCACUCUCAUAACCAUCACUUUGCUGAUUUCCAUAUGAUUCCUGAAGAUCACCUGCCUCAACCUAAAUCUCUACCCAGUUGUGAAUUUACCACUGCCCAUUUUCCGGCCACCGAUGCUCAAUUCUCGCUCCGCCACGCCUUCGGUAACGUUCUUGUGUUCUUCAUCCUGAUCCUGAUCGGUGUUCUCGCUUUCUCGAUCCGUCUCUUCUCCGUUAUAAAGUAUGAGAGCGUUAUUCAUGAAUUCGAUCCUUAUUUCAACUACAGAGUCACUCAGUUUUUGUCAAAGAAUGGCAUAUAUGAUUUCUGGAACUGGUUUGAUGACCGAACUUGGUAUCCCCUUGGCCGUGUCAUGGUUUGACCUUGACAGCAGGCACCUUGUGGUGGGUAUUGAAUUCCUUGAACAUACCUCUCUCGGUUGAAACUGUUUGUGUAUUUACAGCACCUAUAUUCUCAGCCUUUGCCUCGUGGACAACUUAUCUAUUAACGAAGGAGGUUAAGGGUUCCGGAGCUGGCUUGACAGCAGCACUUUUUUGGCUAUGGUCCCAUCAUAUAUAUCUCGAUCUGUGGCAGGAAGCUAUGAUAAUGAAGCUGUUGCUAUAUUUGCUUUGAUCUUCACUUUCUAUCUCUAUAUUAAGACGCUGAAUACAUGGUCCCUCUUUUAUGCCACUUUGAACUCAAUAGCAUACUUCUACAUGGUUUGCUCAUGGGGAGGAUACACUUUUAUCAUUAACUUUAUUC
rnacentral:lncRNA from 1 species